rnacentral:lncRNA from 1 species
UCCUCUUACUCCGGGGUUCAGGCUUCUGCGCCCCUGGUCCGCGGUCGCGCGCAGCCCCCGCGCCUCUCCAGCCCUGAGCUCUCUGCGGCCUAAUGUGGACGGGCAAGCGUUGCCAUGACAGCGCCGCGGGUGGGGAUGCGGGAGGCUGAGCGCACCGGCCAGCUAGCCCCUUUGUGCGGCGGGGGCUGCGGAGUGCUCCCUCCAAGACCGGUUGCACCCCGCUUUCCUGGCCAGGACUCUGGGCGCGGCAGCUACAAAGACGACGCCGGCUGCGCUCGCGGGACCAGAGGGAGGGAGGCUGCGGACGAGUGCGGGGAGGAGUUUGAGAUGGGAGGCGCUUGCAGGGGCUCCCCCAGUUCUGCGCUGUGAGCCGGGGCACAAAGAGCCCUCUGCACUAGCGCCGCAGGACCGCGGACCCGAGUUGGAGGCAUCUGUCCACCCAUGUGGUUCCAGACACGUUCAUGUGGCCACCAUGACCCCGUCGGCAUCACAGGGGUAACCAAGAGAGCAGCAAGUUCCUGGGACAGAGGAGACAGAAGGGAAUUUCCAGGUUCUUCAGGACGUUCACAACCACACUGAGAAGCAUCUUUGCAGAUAAGUAUUUAAACUUACCAGCCCAUAGCCUACCAGCCUGCCCUCUUCUGGUCUGUGCAGGAAAGUGUAGUAUCCUAGAAUGCCAAAGUGGGAGGGGAAAUGGGUGAUGUAGCUCAUUCUCUUUUCUACCUCUAUGGAAGAAAGAAAGAGCCUGUCCCCAUUUUGUGGGGUCCCAGAAAGGGUGAUUUUCACACUUCACAUUUGGCGUUAGGGCUAGUAUUUCACAAACAUUACCGUCUGGAACUUUUGAAGGCUGAGUUAAAUGACUUCAUCUUGUGUACUUGUAGAACUGCUAUUAGAAGGAGGCUGGGGACUCCCUGAUGAUGUGAACCAGCCCUUCUCUUCUCAGUUUCAGCACUUUGUGAUCAUAUUUAUAAACCUUGGACAGGGCUCCUUGGCCUUAGAGUUAAGUGAAGAGUUAACACUGUGACUUUAGAUGCAUUUUUCUCAGUGUAAGUGUCUGAGCUCAUCUCCAGUUCUGGACUCGUGCCCCCACUCCCGGGUGCUGACAGCAAGCUCUGAAGAUAUGCUGAGAGAGCUCCCUGACUCUCCUGACUCAGGUCUGCCAGUUGAUGAAGACAGCACAGUUGUUACCAAAAACAAAACCUGGCAGAUGGUCCUAGGUCAGGAUUAGUGGUCAUUCUCUGGUCUUCUCCAGACUGGUGACACAGGGUGGUCUUAAAAGAGUCCUAGUCCAGCCUCUGGCUCCCCGAAUUUCCUCUGGUGCAUGGGGCAUCAGGAAAGGGCAGGGGAGAAGGAGGGGGAGCAGAAAAAUAACUGAGGCUGGGCAGAAGGGUCCCUUCCAUUUCCCAUCCAUUGCUUCAAACAAUGGGUGAUUACCGUGCACCUUGAGUGAAUGUCAAGGCAGGAAGGGUUCCAGGGCCACCCAGUGUGGCAGGAGCAGAGCUGGGAUCAGAAUUCUGGAUUCCUGACUCUCCGUUCAGCUGCUAUUCAGCUAUCACCAAGCUGCUGAGUUUGUCCUACUUUCUCCUGGGUCACAUUCUGCUGUUGUUGGGAAACAGGGAGUGAGUGAAGGGAACCUGGGAACCCUUCUCCCCUCACCUUUUAAGGAUGUUCUGGGGUGGAAUAAAGAGAGGUGGAGGGUGGGGUGCCUGGGCCCAGCCUCCCUGGCUCCUGGUCCUUCUUUCUUCAGCAGGGAGUUCUGGCAAGGCCUGGGCCUGGGGAGGGGGCCUGGGUGCAGUUUUCUCCUGCGGUGUGGUUGGCUCUUUUGUCUUCCAGGAUGGGCCUGUGGGGUCUGUGUGGGGAAGGAAGGAGCUGGGAGCCUGGGCUGCCUGUGUGUCGGCUGGAUGCUGCCAGCACCGGCAUGGACCAAGCAACUUCUCUGAGCCAGAUGCUGGGGACGCAGAGGUGAACCCAGAGACAUGAUCCCAUCUGCUCAGAUCUUCAUGUCAGAACACGCUUUAUUACAGUCUCGGCAAGGGGGUGGCUCCAUCUGGGCCGCAUCUCCAGGACUCCUGGCCUGGACUUCUCUUUGGACCUCGGGUGACCUUGGAUUCUGGCCACAGUGACUUAGCGGUCAGACUCCGGUGGUUUUCUAGCCCGCUGGGUGACUCCCUGAAGAUCUCAUCCUCUUCACACCUGUUGGGAUGGAGCCUCCCAUGGAUAGGAACUCUUCCUGGUUGAUGCUCAGCAGAUGACUGAUCUGGCUCUGGAGGACAGCUCCAGGGAAUGCGGAGUGGUGUGUACUAUUCAUCAGCUUGGGCUGCCACAGCACCAUGCCAGACUGGAUGGCUUAAACAUCAGGAAUUUAUUUUCUGCCAGUUCUGGAGGCUGGAAAGUCCAGAUCAAGGUGUUAAGACUUGGUUUCUGGUGAGGCCUCUCUCCUUGGCUUGCAGGUGGCACCUUCUCACUAUGUCCUCACAUGGCCUUUUCUCUGUGGAGAGGGACAGAGAGCAUGAGCAGGCUCUGGUGUCUCCUCCUCUUCUUAUAAAGACACUAAUAUCACCAUAUUAGGGCUUAAACCUAUGACCUCAUUUAACCUUAACCCCUUAAAGGUCCCAUCUCCAAAAACAGUCACAUAGCAGGCUACUGCUUCAACAUAUGCAUUUGGGGGAGGGGACACCAUUCAGUUCUUAACAGGGUGGUCACCGCAAACAUGGAAAGUCAGAGCCUUCUCCCCUUCAGAAUUCCCGCCCCCACCCAGGGAUGGGGAGGAGGAGCAGAGAGGUAUGGGAAGCAGACACGGAGAGUGGCAGGUACCAUGCUGGGGUGGCUCAGGAGUGCUUCGGAGGACAUAUGGAACUGGCAGGGCUCAGUGCAGGGAGGCGGAGGCCCUGGGAGAGCCGUGUCCUGAGAAGGGCCUGGGCUACAACCCUGGGCAAGUUACUUCACCUCUGAGCCUCCGAUGCUCUGUGAAAUGGAAGGAAUGUGCUUGCCUGUCAGGUGCAGGGAGAAUUCAGUGAGAUUGUGUGCCUAGCACAGUGCCUGACUCCCAGUAGGUGCUCAGCAAAUGCUCCCAUCCAUCUGGGAGUAUAGACUUAGGGUUUAUCUAUUUUUUUUUUUUUUUGGCUCUCUGGACUUUAAAACUCAGCAUCUUCUGAACCAGAGGCAUUUCUGAUUAGCCCUUCCCUACCUAUUUUCCUAGUAUCACUCUUUAAUCAGCUUGGGGAGGUGGCAGCAUUUCAUGGCCUCCGUAGUAACUCACAAUGCUUCCUGGGGUAUUUAAAUUCUACUCUCUCAUCAGCACUGAGCACCUACUUUGGGCCCUUUCCCGUGCUAGCCAUUUGGGGGAAAUAUAGGUGAAGAGUGGCUGGGGUUUGAACCUUUAGGAUUUCACAGCCAUGCUGGAUGGGAUAAAACCAGCUCACAUGGAGAAUCAGAGAAUGGGACAGUGCCACAAAACAGUCUACUGAGGCACAAGUUCUGAGUGCCUGGGAAGUGGUAGAGAGACCCCAGAGAGGGCUGCUGCAGUCUGGAACAGCUUCCUAGCAAGCUGUACCAAACAGGGCCUUGAAGGAUGAGAAAGAUCUGGCUGAGAUGAUACCCGACCCUCUAGGGAAAUUCUUAAAGUAACUUCUAGGAAAUGUCAUUGCUCCUUAAAAAAAAAAAAAAAAAAAAAAAAGCAGGUUCUAAUUCAAAUUCCGCUGCACUACUGAAGUAGUGCAGGACUUAUCAGAACCUUUAAAAUGCUAAUGGCAAUUUCAAAUACUCAGGGACAGGGCAUAGGAUGAAGUGUUCCUUGACUUUUAUGGCCGUAGAAUCUUUUUCUCAUGGAACAUCGUUUAGAACUGUGGGAGAUGCUAGGCUGGGGUUUCUAUGGGAAAAGUACAGCAGUGAUAGAAGAUGGCAUAAUUAGGGUACACUUAGGUGCUUUGUAGCAUUGGCUGAAAAGGAAGCAGACCGGGUGGGCGUGGGGGAGUCUCAACUUGGUUCCAGGAGCCAGGCCAGCUUGAUGCGUUUUUUUUUUUUCUAAUGGUGGGAGGGCAGGCCAAUAGUUGGAGAAACUAGAGGCCUGACAGUCGGUGAUGGAAGAGAUGUCUACUAAGCACGGUUGUCAGAUCUUUUGCGGAGAGAUGCGGGUGUGCGUGUGUCUGUCAGAGUGUAACAGGAUCCAGCCCUCUGGGAAGGGGCUGACCAGAACCAGGCAGGGGGUUUCUGUCUAGGACAAGUAGGGUCCAUUUUCAGGGGAGCUGAAAUAUUUGCAGGGGGUGCUCUGAGACCCACAGCCAAUAAAUAGGGAAGCAACAUGCUUUUGGGCAGGGUCCAUGUGGUUAGGGUUGAUUUUGAUGGGGCUGGGGGGCUUAGAGUUAGACCCCCUGCCCUGGUCAGGCCCCACUCCCUGGCUGGUGGGGGCGGGAGGCCUCUGAAGCUGCAGCUGGAGGGGCCGGGGCAGUGUUGCAUGGUGUGAUUAACCUACUAACCCAGGGCUCAGCCGGGACGCUGUGGCGUGUGACGAGGUGCCUGGCCUUCUGCCAACCAACUAACCCACUAACCAGGCCCGAGCAUGCCCUACUAACCACCCCCCCGCAGCCAGAUCCUACUAACUGUGCAGCUCAUGGGCCUUUCAAGGGGCUGGGAUAUGGGGGCAGCCAAGGCUCCAGAAGGCUCUGCCUAUGGGCUGGGAUCUUUGUGCAGACCCACGUUCCAGGACAGAGAAUGCAAAUAAGACUCACCAACUCUGCCACUUCCUGUUGAGUGAGUUUGAGUAAGUCACCUCACUUCUCUCAACCUCAGUUUCCUCAGUGGUAGAAUGCGAGUUCUGAUACCUUACAGGAAGGCCCCUCAAACCUGGUUGAA